UACGUAGGUGGCAAGCGUUGUCCGGAAUUAUUGGGCGUAAAGCGCGCGCAGGCGGUCCUUUAAGUCUGAUGUGAAAGCCCACGGCUCAACCGUGGAGGGUCAUUGGAAACUGGGGGACUUGAGUGCAGGAGAGAAGAGUGGAAUUCCACGUGUAGCGGUGAAAUGCGCAGAUAUCGGGAGGAACACCGGUGGCGAAGGCGGUUCUCGUGGGCCUGUGACCUGACGCUGAGGAGCGAAGACGUGGGGAGCGAACAGG
rnacentral:rRNA from 1 species